rnacentral:rRNA from 1 species
UACGAAGGGGGCUAGCGUUGCUCGGAAUGACUGGGCGUAAAGGGCGCGUAGGCGGAUGGCACAGUCAGAUGUGAAAUUCCCGGGCUUAACCUGGGGGCUGCAUUUGAUACGUGUGAUCUAGAGUGAGGAAGAGGGUCGUGGAAUUCCCAGUGUAGAGGUGAAAUUCGUAGAUAUUGGGAAGAACACCGGUGGCGAAGGCGGCGACCUGGUCCUUGACUGACGGCUGAGGCGCGAAAGCGUGGGGAGCAAACAGG